rnacentral:rRNA from 1 species
UCUGGUGAUGAUGGCGGAGGGGACCCACUCGUUCCCAUCCCGAACACGACCGUUAAGCCCUCCAGCGCCGAUGGUACUAUAGAUUAAUCUAUGGGAGAGUAGGACGUCGCCAGGC